CCUACGGGCGACAGCAGUGAGGAAUAUUGGUCAAUGGCCGCAGGUCUGAACCAGCCAAGUCGCGUGCAGGAUGACGGCUCUAUGGAUUUUAAACUUCUUUUGUCCGGGAGUAAACGCCGUUACGCGUGUCUUUCUGAGAGUACCUUAAGAAUAAGCAUCGGCUAACUCCGUGCCAGCAGCCGCGGUAAUACGGAGGAUUCGAGCGUUAUCCGGAUUUAUUGGGUUUAAAGGGUGCGUAGGCGGGCGGAUAAGUGAGCGGUGAAAUUCCGAGGACCAACGUCGGAAGUGCCUCUGAUACUGUCCGGCUUGAGAGUAGGUGAGGUAGGCGGAAUGCAUGGUGUAGCGGUGAAAUGCGUAGAGAUCAUACAGAACACCGAUUGCGAAGGCAGCUUACCAGGCUACUACUGACGCUGAGGCACGAAAGCGUGGGUAGCAAACAGGAUUAGAUACCCGUGUAGUC
rnacentral:rRNA from 1 species